UACGUAGGGGGCUAGCGUUGUCCGGAAUUAUUGGGCGUAAAGAGCUCGUAGGCGGUCUGUCGCGUCUGCUGUGAAAACUCAGGGCUUAACCCUGAGCUUGCAGUGGGUACGGGCAGACUAGAGUGCGGUAGGGGAGACUGGAAUUCCUGGUGUAGCGGUGAAAUGCGCAGAUAUCAGGAGGAACACCGGUGGCGAAGGCGGGUCUCUGGGCCGUAACUGACGCUGGAGGAAGCGAAAGCAUGGGGAGCGAACAGG
rnacentral:rRNA from 1 species